rnacentral:rRNA from 1 species
GACGAACGCUGGCGGCGUGCUUAACACAUGCAAGUCGAACGGUAAGGCCCUUCGGGGUACACGAGUGGCGAACGGGUGAGUAACACGUGGGUGAUCUGCCCUGCACUUCGGGAUAAGCCUGGGAAACUGGCUCUAAUACCGGAUAGGACUCCGGACUGCAUGGUCUGGGGUGGAAAGCUUUUGCGGUGUGGGAUGGGCCCGCGGCCUAUCAGCUUGUUGGUGGGGUGAUGGACUACCAAGGCGACGACGGGUAGCCGGCCUGAGAGGGUGACCGGCCACACUGGGACUGAGAUACGGCCCAGACUCCUACGGGAGGCAGCAGUGGGGAAUAUUGCACAAUGGGCGCAAGCCUGAUGCAGCGACGCCGCGUGAGGGAUGACGGCCUUCGGGUUGUAAACCUCUUUCAGCAUCGACGAAGCGAAAGUGACGGUAGGUGCAGAAGAAGGACCGGCCAACUACGUGCCAGCCGCCGCAGUAA